rnacentral:rRNA from 1 species
UACAGAGGGUGCAAGCGUUGUUCGGAAUUAUUGGGCGUAAAGCGCGCGCAGGCGGUCCUUUAAGUCUGAUGUGAAAGCCCACGGCUCAACCGUGGAGGGUCAUUGGAAACUGGGGGACUUGAGUGCAGAAGAGGGAAGCGGAAUUCCACGUGUAGCGGUGAAAUGCGUAGAUAUCAUUUGGAACGCCAAUGGUGAAAACAGCUUGCUGGGGGUUUGCUGACGCUGAGACACGAAAGCCAGGGGAGCAAACGGG